ACAAAGUCUUGGAGUCUGAAAUCUUGUUUCUCCACAGAACAGAGACAGCAUGAACAACUACAGAGCAAGCUUCCCCUCCAUCUUCUGCCUCUGCUUCUGCUUUGACUAAAUUACUCCUGUGAGUCACAGGGGAGUUCAUUUUCCUCUCCUAUUCAUCUCCUGAAGCC
rnacentral:sRNA from 1 species